rnacentral:lncRNA from 1 species
ACAACCCAAAUCCUCUGCAUCCAAGUCUAAAAAGGCUACAAAGUCUGAUGAAAAUCCCUCCACUGUGAAGACCAGAACCUCUGUUGCUACACAAGUUCUAAAGACAAAAUCUGAUAAACCAACAAACUCUGAUGCUGUAAACACUGAUGCUGUAAACUCUGAUGCUGUAAACACUGAAGCUGCUUCUCCACCAAAGCAGAAAAGAAGGAGACUUGUUGCCGCCUAUGAUUAUGAAGAUCUGGAAGCCC